CACGUAGGGGGCAAGCGUUGUCCGGAUUCAUUGGGCGUAAAGAGCUCGUAGGCGGUUCGAUAAGUCGGGUGUGAAACCUCCAGGCUCAACCUGGAGACGCCACCCGAUACUGUCGUGACUAGAGUCCAGUAGGGGAGUGUGGAAUUCCUGGUGUAGCGGUGAAAUGCGCAGAUAUCAGGAGGAACACCAGUGGCGAAGGCGGCACUCUGGGCUGGCACUGACGCUGAGGUGCGAAAGCGUGGGGAGCAAACAGG
rnacentral:rRNA from 1 species